rnacentral:tRNA from 1 species
GGACGAUUAGCUCAGCUGGUAGAGCACUCGCUUGACGUGCGAGUGGUCAGGGAUUCGAGUUCCUUAUCGUCCACCA